rnacentral:lncRNA from 1 species
CUUUGCAAAUGUGCCAACACCACCAAGUGUACACCACCAUGUGCAAGUGUGUUAGCAUUUUCACAAAUAUUUUCCCAAAGGAGUUAGCCUCUCAUCUUGCCACGCCACUCGAUCCUAACACGUAUGCAAAGUUAGAUCGCUCAAGUGGCACUAGAUGACCGAUAUGCAAACAAGUUUGCCCCUCUUGAUAGUACGGCCAUCUAUCCUAAAUCCGGUCAUAAACUUCUCUACACACCUAUGACCGGUAAAAUGGAA